UACGUAGGGAGCAAGCGUUGUUCGGAUUAUCUGGGCGUAAAGGGCGCGUAGGCGGCGCGGUAAGUCACUUGUGAAAUCUCUGAACUUAACUCAGAACGGCCAAGUGAUACUGCAGUGCUAGAGUGCAGAAGGGGCAAUCGGAAUUCUUGGUGUAGCGGUGAAAUGCGUAGAUAUCAAGAGGAACACCUGAGGUGAAGACGGGUGCUGGGCUGACACUGACGUGAGACGCGAAAGCGUGGGUAGCAAACGGG
rnacentral:rRNA from 1 species